UCCAGUCAACACUUUGGCUGAUUGCCGGGCUUCUUAGAGAGGACUUUCGGCUUAAGCCGAAGGAAGUUGGAGGCAAUCCUUAGUCUGUGAUGCCCUUAGAUGUUCUGGGCUGCACGCGCGUUACACUGACAGAGCCAACGAGUAAACCACCUUGGCCGAAAGGUCUGGGUAAUCUUGUUAAACUCUGUCGUGCUGGGGAUAGUGCAUUGCAAUUAUUGCACUUCAACGAGGAAUGCCUAGUAAGCGCAAGUCAUCAGCUUGCGUUGAUUACGUCCCUGCCUUUUGUACACACCGCCCGUCGCUACUACCGAUUGAAUGGCUAAAU
rnacentral:rRNA from 1 species